GGGACGAAGUCCAGCUCCCGUAAGAGUCCGGAUGAAGUCUUCCUGCAGCCAUAGUCGGGGACGAAGUCUGGCUCCCGUAGGAGCUCGGAUGAAGUCUUCCUGCAGUCGGAGUCGGGGACGGAGUCCGGCUCCCAUAGGAGUUCGGAUGAAGUCUUCCUGCAGCCGGAGUCGGGGAUGAAGUCCGGCUCCCGUAGGAGUCCGGAUGAAGACUACCUAC
rnacentral:lncRNA from 1 species